rnacentral:rRNA from 1 species
UACGAAGGGGGCUAGCGUUGUUCGGAUUUACUGGGCGUAAAGCGCACGUAGGCGGAUUGUUAAGUCAGGGGUGAAAUCCUGGAGCUCAACUCCAGAACUGCCUUUGAUACUGGCAAUCUCGAGUCCGGAAGAGGUAAGUGGAACUCCUAGUGUAGAGGUGGAAUUCGUAGAUAUUAGGAAGAACACCAGUGGCGAAGGCGGCUCACUGGCUCGACACUGACGCUGAGGUGCGAAAGCGUGGGGAGCAAACAGG